UGAAUGAUUAUUUUUGUGUGAUAAUUGAUAGACUAAUUAAGAUUAUGGGUAGGUGAUAAUAUGGAAUGAUGUAAUGAAAAAUGUUGAUGAAAAAGGUAAUAGCUAGCAGUCAAUGUCACUGAGAUAUUUAGCAGAAAAAUGAAGAGUGAGAAUGAUGAGAGCGUGUCACUGCAUAAUUCCUUGCAGAUUGGUGCAGCUACAGAUAUAUAGCUACCUGCACUCACUGUCUCUGUAAAUCUCAAUCUCUCUACUUUGCUUGCUUCUGUCUUUUCUCUGAGAGAGACUCACAUCACUGUUACUCUGUUCCUGCCAUGCAAUACCCCAUCC
rnacentral:lncRNA from 1 species